ensembl:lincRNA
GGAGGACACCGGAAUAAGAAGAGGAGCACCUCACGACGUAAACAAAAUGUGGAACAAGCAGGUAGUUGUUGCUUUUGCUCUCCUUUGUGGCGAGAAAGAAAAGAAGAGGAUACGCCGAAAAACUUGGAGUAGAUCACAUUUGUUUGGUCAUGAGCAAUACGGUUUGACUGUUCUUCAGCUAGAAUUGAAGAUCCAAAACUCCACCGGUUGUCUCCAUAUCCAAAGAAGAACUGGACUCUGGAGGUUCCCAAGAAUAUAAUCUAAUUAAAGGAUACAUCUGCAUUUUUUAUGGGACUUUCUAAAUCACUUGCACAGUUUUAAUAAAUAUAAAGUUUCUUGUGUUUUGCUAUUAGACAACUACUGUAUGUCUUGCAGUGUUAACCUAAAUGUUGAUGUAAAUCUAGUUAUACUGCAGCCAACUUGUAGUGUAGGAAACAUUAAUAUAUCCAACAUAAUUCUGUUAAGAUAAUGUGAUAUGCAGUUGCUAGCAGCCUUAUCACCCUACAACUGAUAACCCACUGAAGCUAAGCAAGCGUGUGUCUGGUCAGUAUGUGCAUGGGAGACCUCCUGGGAAAAACCCACUGUGGUCUGUGUGGGUCCUAAUGCCCCAGUAUGGUGACAGGGAUACUGUACUGUAAAAAGGUGCCAUCCUGUGAAUGAGAUGUAAAACUGAGGUCCUGACUCUGUAUUGUCAUUGUUAAAUGUGGUCAUUUUAAUCAUUUGUGUUUGCUAAUUAUAAUUGGAAUAUACAGUAGUGACGGAGAAAUAUAAAAGUAAAGUGUAUUGUGUUAUCAUUUUUAAUUUGGUGGAUUAUAUGGUAUCAGAACAAAUACAAAUGUGAAUAGUAUUAUUCAAAUACUAGGUAUUCUAAUGAGUACUGUUAUGAAAAUGGCGUGCUCUAAAUUCAAAAUUGGAUGUACAAGAGGAAGUUCUUCCACAUCAUGAUAAACAAAAAAACUUUCACAUCAAACUUUGACAAGAAAAUUCAAAACCAUAAUAAUAAACGGUAAUUAUUACAAUUUCUCAAAGACAUUUGCAGUGUUAGCCUAUAGACCUUUCUAGUACCAACAAAGAGAAACAUUAAACAAAGGACAAGUAAAAAUUAUUAUAGAUCAACUUUUGACGUAAGGUGUGACAAGAUAGAAAAAACAAUCAAGCUUGACAUAAAGAGGGCCUUGAGAAUGCAAAAUCAUCGGAACAGCAAUUGUGUUUAAUUUGAUACAAACAUUUGUUCAUCUUAGUAUAUCCCUGAAAGAACAGAAAGACGAGUUUGGUACCUGUGCUUUUCUACUCCUUUCAUAAAUAUUAUUUUGAAUUUAGUGAUUGGUAUCCGAUUGUUCAUAUCUAUGUAACGAAAUUAAGUAUUUUAGAGUGCAUUAAACACAGAAUUGGAGGCAAAUUUGCACACAUUGGGCUGUAUGAGUCUGGAGUCAGCCAUGUUGAUGUAGCUGAUACACUGUCCUCUUUUGAAAAAUGGCUGCAUGAGGUUCUUGGAUCAAUUAGCGACUAAAACCAAAUGAGCUAGAAGAGCCAGAUGGCCUCCUCUCAUCUGUAAACAUUCUUACGCUCCUGUGUUUUUGUGUAUGGCUCAUGCAUUCAUCAAGACAUCAAGACAAGACAACCUCAUCCAUCGUACACAUGUGUAGAAUAUAAAUUAAAUGAUAUAUAAUAUUUUACAAAAAAUGGUAAUUGUACCUUAUUUGUAUACAUUAAAAUAUCUGCUAUCCCAAACACAGAAUAUUUCAGAAAAAUCUGAAUGUAAAACAAGAUGCAAGCUAUUAUUUAUGUUGAGAAAAAUGUCCUCGGGUUAUAUUUCUAGUUCACAAUGGUCUAAAUCAUAGAGUUUAAGGAAAGUGAAUAGGUUUAUGGUGUGGGAAAUAUGUCAAAUAUUUCAAACAUAAUCUUCUACUUAUUUGUAUAGAGUGGGAGAGCUGUAUAAGCUGUUGCAGGUUGCAAAAGAAAAAGAAGAAGCUAAUUCUAUGCUGCAAAGUAAUGUAAGACAGCAAAAUAUGCAUUUCACCUUUGAAGUCUUCAUGCAUUUCAUAGAAUUAAACCUCAUUUGUUACUUCCAGUACUCCUUUUCCUUGUUUAUUUUUAAUAGAAUCUCUUCCAUUAUGUUUUUAAACAGGUUUUUGCUCCCCUUUCUUUUUAAACCUCUCUCACACUGGUUGAUAUCCAUUUAAUAUUUUAUUUAGAAAAAAAUGUAAAACCAUUUCCUGUUUCUUGAGAUA